AUUGAACGCUGGCGGCGUGCUUUACACAUGCAAGUCGAACGGUAACGGGUUAAGCUGACGAGUGGCGAACGGGUGAGUAAUGCAUCGGAACGUGCCCGAUCGUGGGGGAUAACGCAGCGAAAGCUGCGCUAAUACCGCAUACGAUCUGAGGACGAAAGCGGGGGACCGUAAGGCCUCGCGCGAUCGGAGCGGCCGAUGUCAGAUUAGGUAGUGGGUGGGGUAAAGGCUCACCAAGCCAACGAUCUGUAGCUGGUCUGAGAGGACGACCAGCCACACUGGGACUGAGACACGGCCCAGACUCCUACGGGAGGCAGCAGUGGGGAAGUUUGGACAAUGGGCGAAAGCCUGAUCCAGCAAUGCCGCGUGCAGGAAGAAGGCCUUCGGGUUGUAAACUGCUUUUGUACGGAGCGAAAAGGCUCUCUCUAAUACAGGGGGCCCAUGACGGUACCGUAAGAAUAAGCACCGGCUAACUACGUGCCAGCCGCCGCGGUAA
rnacentral:rRNA from 1 species